GGAGCCGGCAGCUGAUCCAAUGACGGCAGCGAUGCGAGAGGGUCCCAGGUGGAGUCGUGACUCAAGUAGCACUCCAAGAUGGGGAGGUGUUUGAGGGAGCGAGGGGAGAGGGUACGGGGGGGGUGGGGGGGGGGGGGCACACAAGCGGCGCCCUGUGUGACAAGCUGCCUGUUGUGUGUGUAUACUCCUUGACAGCGGGGAAAGCAAAGAGACAGCAGACCUCUGCCCCCCUCCCUCCCUCCCCUCGCCGGACCUCCGCCAAAGUACGACGGGACUCAUAUUUAUUCCCCCUGAGCGGCAGUGGCAGGCGUGUCCUCCUCUGCUGCCCCCGCGCUUGUUUCAGUGAAACUGGCGUUGAAAUAGCAGGAAGAUGUUCGCCGAGCAGCACGCGACGGGGAAGCCGAAGCUUCACUAUGAGGAUUCAUCAUCACAAGGCUUUGCCUUCGCAUAUACAAAGGCUUUGUUGGGAGGAGACCAUCAGAUGGAUCUAACCACGUUUCAGCACACACUCUGGGACAUCCUGACAAACGGAGGCCGUGUCAAGAUCAAAGACACACAUGGUGCACCAGGCGUGGGUGAAGAUCCUCCCUUAAAGGCAGCGGACAGAGGUGAUGCAGCUAGUUUAUUCCCACCUUCACGCCACAAGCAUAUUAUCCCGCUCCAGCUGCUUCGAGGAGACAGGCGCAGGUAUUUAUGGCUAGCAUAAAAAGCGUGUGCAUUUCCCUGUCACCCUACAGCUCCUGGUUUACGGCACGUUUGACAAACACGCUGAAUAAAAAAGAAAAAAAAUGAAAGAAGGAGACUGUUCAAUUUGUAUAGUAGUAGUAGAGUUUACAGCCUGUCUGUUGUGCAUGUUCCCCCAACGGAAUCUGCUGUUAGGACACGUGUGUG
ensembl:lncRNA